rnacentral:rRNA from 1 species
UACGGAGGGUGCAAGCGUUAUCCGGAUUCACUGGGUUUAAAGGGUGCGUAGGUGGGUUGGUAAGUCAGUGGUGAAAUCCCCGAGCUUAACUUGGGAACUGCCAUUGAUACUAUUAAUCUUGAAUAUUGUGGAGGUCAGCGGAAUAUGUCAUGUAGCGGUGAAAUGCUUAGAGAUGACAUAGAACACCAAUUGCGCAGGCAGCUGGCUACGCAUAUAUUGACACUGAGGCACGAAAGCGUGGGGAUCAAACAGG